GCUGGGCAUGGUGGUGCGUGCCUGUAGUCCCAGCUACUCGGGAGGCUGAGGCAGGAGAAUUGCUUGAACCCAGGAGGCGGAGUUGCAGUGAGCGAGAUCGUGCCAUUGCACUCCAGCCUGGGUAACACAGCGAACUCUGUCUCAA
rnacentral:SRP_RNA from 1 species